rnacentral:rRNA from 1 species
AAGGAUCAUUACUAAGUAUUGGAAGGCCCAUCCACCUGCCUGGUUAUUCCAAGGGCGGAAUGGGGCCUGACCUCAAAUCUCUCUCUGCGUACGUCUCCCUGUUGCUUCCCCGGGAGGGCGUCAUGGCGCCCGGGGAAGGACCCCCCCCCGAGGGCACAACGAUGCCGACUAAUUCACCGGCAGAACUCACCACCCCGGCCGUCUGAUGCCCGGCGCACCGAUUGGGGCGCAUGGAGCCAGGACGUGGACCGCAAACGGAUAGAAAAAACUUUCAACAACGGAUCUCUUGGUUCCCGCAUCGAUGAAGAACGCAGCGAAAUGCGAUAAGUAAUGUGAAUUGCAGAAUUCAGUGAAUCAUCGAAUCUUUGAACGCACAUUGCGCCCCCUGGCAUUCCAGGGGGCAUGCCUGUUCGAGCGUGUCCGAGAAGUAGGCUCGCGUGGGAAAACCCGCGGUUGUGCUGGAGGCGGCGGUCCCGACAGGGCGGCCAUCCCGGCGGAAUCAAUGGGCGGAUGCCUGCCGCUUGGCAGAGCGUGAUAUUCUUUGCUAUCGCCUCGAGGGCGGCGAGGUGUCCAGCCCAUGCAUCCAUGCACGGCGGGGAGAAUGUGACAUUGGAACUCCUCGAAUCAGGUAGGGAUACCCGCUGAACUUAA